rnacentral:rRNA from 1 species
CACCCUUUAAAGAAAGCGUAAUAGCUCACUAGUCGAGUCGGCCCGCGCGGAAGAUUUAACGGGGCUAAAUUGGUAACCGAAGCUUUGGGUUCAUACUUUGUAUGAGCGGUAGCGGAGCGUUCUGUAAGCCGUUGAAGGUGGAUCGAGAGGUCUGCUGGAGGUAUCAGAAGUGCGAAUGCUGACAUGAGUAACGAUAAUGGGGGUGAAAAACCCCCACGCCGGAAGACCAAGGUUUCCUGCCCCAUGCUAAUCAGGGCAGGGUGAGUCGACCCCUAAGGCGAGGGCGAAAGCCGUAGUCGAUGGGAAACAGGUUAAUAUUCCUGUACUAGAUUGUAGUGCGAUGGAGAGACGGAGAAGGCUAGGCUAGCGCAGCGUUGGUUGUCUGCGUUCAAGCUGGUAGGCUGGGGGAUUAGGUAAAUCCGGUCCCCUAAGGCCGAGAAGCGAUAACGAGUUCUUUCGAAAGAUCGAGCGAAGUAGUCGAUGCCAUGCUUCCAAGAAAAUCUUCUAAGCUUCAGCUGCAAUGUAAUCGUACCCCAAACCGACACAGGUGGUCAGGUAGAGAAUACCAAGGCGCUUGAGAGAACUCGGGUGAAGGAACUAGGCAAAAUGGUACCGUAACUUCGGGAGAAGGUACGCCGGUUUUGGUGAUGGGACUUGCUCCCUAAGCUGAGGCGGGCCGAAGUGACCAGGUGGCUGCGACUGUUUAUUAAAAACAUAGCACUCUGCAAACACGUAAGUGGACGUAUAGGGUGUGACGCCUGCCCGGUGCCGGAAGGUUAAUUGAUGGGGUUAGCUUCGGCGAAGCUCUUGAUCGAAGCCCCGGUAAACGGCGGCCGUAACUAUAACGGUCCUAAGGUAGCGAAAUUCCUUGUCGGGUAAGUUCCGACCUGCACGAAUGGCGUAACGACGGCCACACUGUCUCCACCCGAGACUCAGUGAAAUUGAAAUCGCUGUUAAGAUGCAGUGUACACGCGGCUAGACGGAAAGACCCCGUGCACCUUUACUAUAGCUUUGCACUGAACUUUGAACCUAUCUGUGUAGGAUAGGUGGGAGGCUUUGAAGCGACCACGCUAGUGGUUGUGGAGCCAACCUUGAAAUACCACCCUGGUAUGUUUGGAGUUCUAACCUCGGCCCAUUAUCUGGGCUAGGGACAGUGUAUGGUGGGUAGUUUGACUGGGGCGGUCUCCUCCCAAAGAGUAACG